UGCAAACUGCGAAUACCGGAGAAUGUUAUCACGGGAGACACACGGCGGGUGCUAACGUCCGUCGUGAAGAGGGAAACAACCCAGACCGCCAGCUAAGGUCCCAAAGUCAUGGUUAAGUGGGAAACGAUGUGGGAAGGCCCAGACAGCCAGGAUGUUGGCUUAGAAGCAGCCAUCAUUUAAAGAAAGCGUAAUAGCUCACUGGUCGAGUCGGCCUGCGCGGAAGAUGUAACGGGGCUAAACCAUGCACCGAAGCUGCGGCAGCGACACUAUGUGUUGUUGGGUAGGGGAGCGUUCUGUAAGCCUGCGAAGGUGUACUGUGAGGUAUGCUGGAGGUAUCAGAAGUGCGAAUGCUGACAUAAGUAACGAUAAAGCGGGUGAAAAGCCCGCUCGCCGGAAGACCAAGGGUUCCUGUCCAACGUUAAUCGGGGCAGGGUGAGUCGACCCCUAAGGCGAGGCCGAAAGGCGUAGUCGAUGGGAAACAGGUUAAUAUUCCUGUACUUGGUGUUACUGCGAAGGGGGGACGGAGAAGGCUAUGUUGGCCGGGCGACGGUUGUCCCGGUUUAAGCGUGUAGGCUGGUUUUCCAGGCAAAUCCGGAAAAUCAAGGCUGAGGCGUGAUGACGAGGCACUACGGUGCUGAAGCAACAAAUGCCCUGCUUCCAGGAAAAGCCUCUAAGCAUCAGGUAACAUCAAAUCGUACCCCAAACCGACACAGGUGGUCAGGUAGAGAAUACCAAGGCGCUUGAGAGAACUCGGGUGAAGGAACUAGGCAAAAUGGUGCCGUAACUUCGGGAGAAGGCACGCUGAUAUGUAGGUGAAGCGACUUGCUCGUGGAGCUGAAAUCAGUCGAAGAUACCAGCUGGCUGCAACUGUUUAUUAAAAACACAGCACUGUGCAAACACGAAAGUGGACGUAUACGGUGUGACGCCUGCCCGGUGCCGGAAGGUUAAUUGAUGGGGUUAGCGGUAACGCGAAGCUCUUGAUCGAAGCCCCGGUAAACGGCGGCCGUAACUAUAACGGUCCUAAGGUAGCGAAAUUCCUUGUCGGGUAAGUUCCGACCUGCACGAAUGGCGUAAUGAUGGCCAGGCUGUCUCCACCCGAGACUCAGUGAAAUUGAACUCGCUGUGAAGAUGCAGUGUACCCGCGGCAAGACGGAAAGACCCCGUGAACCUUUACUAUAGCUUGACACUGAACAUUGAGCCUUGAUGUGUAGGAUAGGUGGGAGGCUUUGAAGUGUGGACGCCAGUCUGCAUGGAGCCGACCUUGAAAUACCACCCUUUAAUGUUUGAUGUUCUAACGUUGGCCCCUGAUCGGGGUUGCGGACAGUGUCUGGUGGGUAGUUUGACUGGGGCGGUCUCCUCCUAAAGAGUAACGGAGGAGCACGAAGGUUGGCUAAUCCUGGUCGGACAUCAGGAGGUUAGUGCAAUGGCAUAAGCCAGCUUGACUGCGAGCGUGACGGCGCGAGCAGGUGCGAAAGCAGGUCAUAGUGAUCCGGUGGUUCUGAAUGGAAGGGCCAUCGCUCAACGGAUAAAAGGUACUCCGGGGAUAACAGGCUGAUACCGCCCAAGAGUUCAUAUCGACGGCGGUGUUUGGCACCUCGAUGUCGGCUCAUCACAUCCUGGGGCUGAAGUAGGUCCCAAGGGUAUGGCUGUUCGCCAUUUAAAGUGGUACGCGAGCUGGGUUUAGAACGUCGUGAGACAGUUCGGUCCCUAUCUGCCGUGGGCGCUGGAGAACUGAGGGGGGCUGCUCCUAGUACGAGAGGACCGGAGUGGACGCAUCACUGGUGUUCGGGUUGUCAUGCCAAUGGCACUGCCCGGUAGCUAAAUGCGGAAGAGAUAAGUGCUGAAAGCAUCUAAGCACGAAACUUGCCCCGAGAUGAGUUCUCCCUGACUCCUUGAGAGUCCUGAAGGAACGUUGAAGACGACGACGUU
rnacentral:rRNA from 1 species